AACACUUGUAAAAUUUCUUUACAAAAAUCAUAUUACCAAUCUCUUCCUUUGCAUCUUGCUUAUAUGCCAAAGCAGUGAAUAUAGACUGCUUAUUCUUCCAUAAUCCCAACAUUUCAGCUUCCACCUUGUUCCAAAUUUUAGCACAUCUUACUGAAGUACUAAGCUCAUAAUCACCAAUUCAUUUCAAACCAUAUAACUCAUACUCAGCAUCCCAUGUAAUAUUAGUCAUCUCAUAAAACAAUAUCUUUGUAGAAACACAUAAUGGGUACCCAGCAGAUAUGCCAAUACAGAAAUCACAUUUAUGGGCACACAACUACACACUCUGUCUCCCUCCUAGGAAACACGGGUAAACACAAUAUAAAAGCAAUCUUAAACUAACACCUCCAAAUCUCCAACUAUUCUUGGCCAAAACGCUAGUAUUCAACAACUAAUAAAACAGUUAUUUGCUAGGUUAUUUGGCUGUCAUUCUUAUCAGUAUCACUAGACUGUGACAAACUGAUUCACAUAUAAUUUAAAACAAUACAGCAACAUAUAAAUUAAACCACUUUCAAGUUUAACUGCACACUUAUCACACAUUAUCACAAUCACCAUUUACACAGAAUAAACAGUUAACAGCUGUAUUCAGAACAUAUUAUUGGAAGGUAUACCAAUUUUAGUUUAGAUUUAUUUUAGGGAUUCUUAUGUGUACAUUUUCUUAAUUAACUUCAUUACUUUAAUCUACUAUAGUAUUAUAUUUAAAGAAAGGAUCCAUUUAUAUAGCGCGCUCAUAACUCAACUAUUUGUAUAAAACUACCAUUAACUAAUCUGAGAUGAUGCUGCAUCAACUUAAAUCCUAUAGAAAUUGAACAAACAUCUGGACCAGAUUAAACAGACAUGGUUUCACCUGAAUCUUUCAGAACUCUCAGAGACUUAAAAAAUUUAUACUAUACCAUGUUUUAAAGGCAUGGCAAACCUUUAGACCGGUCAGUCUCCAAGAGUCCUUUGUAAU